UACGGGGGGAGCAAGCGUUGUUCGGAUUUACUGGGCGUAAAGGGCGCGUAGGCGGCCUGCUAAGUCGAACGUGAAAUCCCCGAGCUCAACUCGGGAACUGCGUCCGAUACUGACAGGCUUGAAUCCGGGAGAGGGAUGCGGAAUUCCAGGUGUAGCGGUGAAAUGCGUAGAUAUCUGGAGGAACACCGGUGGCGAAGGCGGCAUCCUGGACCGGCAUUGACGCUGAGGCGCGAAAGCUAGGGGAGCAAACGGG
rnacentral:rRNA from 1 species